GGGCCCGCACAAGCGGUGGAGCAUGUGGUUUAAUUCGAAGAUACGCGCAGAACCUUACCAACACUUGACAUGUUCGUCGCGACUUUAAGAGAUUAAAGUUUUCGGUUCGGCCGGACGAAACACAGGUGCUGCAUGGCUGUCGUCAGCUCGUGUCGUGAGAUGUUGGGUUAAGUCCCGCAACGAGCGCAACCCUCACUUUUAGUUGCCAGCAGUUCGGCUGGGCACUCUAUGGAAACUGCCCGUGAUAAGCGGGAGGAAGGUGUGGAUGACGUCAAGUCCUCAUGGCCCUUACGGGUUGGGCUACACACGUGCUACAAUGGUGGUGACAAUGGGUUAAUCCCAAAAAGCCAUCUCAGUUCGGAUUGGGGUCUGCAACUCGACCCAUG
rnacentral:rRNA from 1 species